rnacentral:rRNA from 1 species
UACGGGGGGGGCAAGCGUUGUUCGGAAUUACUGGGCGUAAAGGGCUCGUAGGCGGCCAACUAAGUCAGACGUGAAAUCCCUCGGCUUAACCGGGGAACUGCAUCUGAUACUGGAUGGCUUGAGUUCGGGAGAGGGAUGCGGAAUUCCAGGUGUAGCGGUGAAAUGCGUAGAUAUCAGGAAGAACACCCGUGGCUAAGGCGGCUCUCUAGUACGGUACUGACGCUGAGACGCGAAAGCGUGGGGAGCGAACAGG